AUUAAGGUGACAACCUUAAAAAUUAUAGCAAAUGCAUUAAAAAAUUAAUUAGUGUUUGAUAAAAAGAAAAAUACAUUAUAUGUUUCAUAUAUUAUAUGAAAGUACGAAAAUAAACGAUCGCUUAGAUCCCUUGGGAUCCUGUUGACGAUAGGAGAUCUAGUUAUACAACCUUAGUUAUCUAUCAAAUGUAGCUGAAAAUUAUUAAUUUUAUUGAGUCAUUUUUUCUUUUUUCUUUAUGUGUCACUGAAUAUUAGUGACUAGCAAAUUAUUUUUAAUACCAAUACACGGUAUUAAUCGUGUAAAGUAGUUAGUAAAGUAUUAAUUCUUGAUAUUUUUUAAAAGAUAAUUUUUAUUUAAGAACAACACUAUAUUUUAAAUAUUAUCUUUAUUUUAAAGGAUAGUCUGAAAAUUGUACAAAAAUUGAGUAUUUGUAUUUUAUUUGUAUUAAUAAUGAUUUCUAAGACAAAGGCACAUACUAUUAAAAAAAAACAGGAGCACAGUGUGGACGUGGCAUAGUUUGGAUAAGUAUAGAUGUUUAAUAGUUGAGAAUCUUGGUCAAAACCAAGAAUCGGAAGCUACCCGACGUCUGCCCAAAUAUCGUCCCUAUCUCUUUAAAUGAGUUUUAAUUGCCUGAAAGAGACACAGGCAAUCGUGUACCUUAGUUACAGGGGAUAGAUUAUUAAAUAAAAUUAGACUAUUGUUUUAUGUCAACGACAAAGUAAAGUUAUAUUUUAGAUGUUUAGUAAAUAUAAGUUAUAUGUAAUGUACAAUACGUCUGACCUGAAUCCUAGUACAGUUGGUUAGUAGGUAUAUCCAAGUGAGACGGAGUUGGUUGGCUAUGAUGACAAUUGGCGAUAGACGGGUCGUUGAAUAAAACAAGUUAAGUUAUAAAUAAUAUAAAUAAGACUAAAGUAAUAAUAUUGAAAACUAUGCCUAUAACGGCCACUCAAACACAACUACCCUUUGUUAGUUUGACUUCAGUAGCUCCGGGUUACAGACGAGUAGAAUUGUUACAUCAGCAUCUCCCUCUAUGCUAAUUAAUAUGUAUUACGAAUUAAAUAAAUAGAAAUAAAACGUGUGUAAUAUAAGUUGUAAGAACACAGUAAUAAAUGUUCUUACACCUCCCUGUGGGUGGUGUCCCCCCGCCGUCACCAGGUGGUGACCGUUCCUUAGGUUCCCUCUCCACAUUUUCCGUUAUGAAGCCGUUAUUAAGGGUGGCGGUUUCCUAGGUCCCUUCCCCUUGCGUAACACACUUCCUUCCUUCCCUUUCGAGGCAGGAGUGAAGUGCGUCUGUUUGUUUCUUACCUGUGCCUUACCUCCUUUUCCGAGUGGCACUGGUGAUUCUUCAGCCUUCCUCUUCCCAGAUUUUUGAGAAGUAGAUUUUUUCACAUCCUUCUAGGCAACAGUCUGUGAAGCAAACUCUGACCAUUCUAAAAUAUAAACUUCGCUUCAGUUCCUCCAGUUUGGCUAUGCUCUUUUCGUCCACACUUAGGAACAAAGUUUGUCCUUUCGGGCCAAACUUUGUCUCAUGGUGGACUUUCCAGAUCGCCGUGUUCAGCCCUGGGUUUUGUUUAGCCAAAAUUUCCAAGAUCAUCUUGGACUUUUUUGGCAGCCUUGGUAUAUGAUAUAACAUACCGUGAAUGUUUAAAAAUAUUUGUCAAUAAUGCAAAUUGUCGUUAGCGUUUUUCGAUUUAAAACUAAAAAAUUUGAUCAAAUCUGUUUAGAGAUAUUUAAAAAACACUUUGAAAAUUUUGUUGAAAUCUUUUUAUUUUUGACUGAUUUAUGAGCCUUUUUGCUUUUUUUAUUUCCACGUACAUAGUUUUUAGUAAGAUAUGGAUUUUGCUUUUUGCAUGUGAAUUUGCUUAAAUUUUAUGUUAGUUAGGUAGUUUUUAUUAAAAACACGUAAUUUAAAGAUUGUAUAUAUGAUUAUUAAAUUUUCUUUCGUCUACCUGUUGUUUUGAAUAAUAAUAAGUAGAUUAUAAUGAAGUAUAAUUGUGAAAACGCAUAAGUAAUUUUGUUGUCAUAAUAUUAUUUUUCCAUUAUUAUUAUUUAAUUUACAAGUGGGAAUAAUUUUCUGGUAAACUGCUUUUGGAGUUUUACUAAUGUCGUACGUCGGUAGUGCCCCAACGUAGAUAAAAAAGUUUUACACAAAUUAAUUAAUGUUUAUAUAUAUAUAUAUAUAUAAUGCACACCUGGCAGGAUUUUAGUAUUCGGCGGGUUAGUUGCUCCUGGUUACCCACAUGUUGAUUUGUAUCAUUGCCGUUCGUCGGAGUAUUCAAUUUAAUAAUUUUAACUUGAUUUAUCUUUUCUUUUUAGUUGUUUACUUAUUUGUCCAUGCUAUAAACAAGGCCUUACGUGUUAUUAAUCGUCAUUUUCUAUUCCGCGUAUUAUUUUUUGAGACUGCCUAAUAUAAUCUUCGACUUUAAUAGUUGUUAUCCUGUUGAUAUGUUUUCUUCAUUUUUAAAUUUUUUUAAUUUCAAGUCUGAUUCAGAUAAAGUUAAAUCUACGAAUCCACUUAGUGGGAAAACAUUAAAUCUCAAUAGUCCUGAGGCAAGAGCUCUUAAUAUUUUUAACCAGAAAUUGUCUAUUUCUCGAAGAAAUAAUGGAAAUAAUACUCCAUUUAGACCAAAUUAUAAUAUAGCUGAAGUAACAAGUCCUGGAUUUAGUUAUCGAAUAGCUCAAAAAGCUCGAGAAAUGAGAUCUACAACGCCAACUUCUGAUAUUUCAAAUUUAUCAGUAUCGUAUGCUUCAGAUUAUGUUAUAUUAAGAAAUUAUGUUGUUUAUAAGUUCCUCUUAUAAUAUUUGAUACAUAAUUAAAUUUUUUAAUAGGAAAUACUUUUAAUUUGACAAAUAACUUUUUUUAGAAACAAUUCUAGUAACAGUAAUUCUACUCCACAUGAGUUUCAAAAUUUAGUAGAGAAAAUCCUAAUGAUAAAAAGCGUAAAUUAAUGAAAACAUUAGAAAAUUUUGGUGUAAGAAACAGAACUAGCCAAGAGUUUGAUUUUGAUAAUUUUGUAAAUUACCGUAAAAAUGCUAUUGAGUCAAAUGACCGAAUUAUUCCAUUGAAUGGUAUAGAUAAAACAAAUAGAGAAAUUUCACAUUCACCAUAUAUGACACCAAAGAAUAAUCAUGUUAUUUUUGAUAAAAAACAAAAUAAGAGACAGAGUGAUACUGAUGUUAAUAGUCAUCAUUCAUAUAAAAAACCUAUAACUCUCAAUAAUGAAAUUUUGAGUUCUUAUAGUUCAAGCAAAUUUCUUCAGUCAUCAAGACAAAAAAAAAACAUAUCCUAUUGACCCAGAGGGUGAUGAUUCUCCUUACCGAAAACAUUGUAAAAGAUGUACUUGUUUUGGUUCAACAGUAUUAUUAACCAAUGAUAAUGAUAAGUCAAUUAAAAUUGACAAAUAUACAGAAACUAAUUUAGCUGGAGAUCUUGUAAUAGUUGCACCUAGUAGAAUAUUCAAUAGAAGUGGAAAAACACAAGUUUUUAAAAGAAUUAGUAUAAAAAGUGUAUUAGAUGAAUUAUUUGAUGAGCCAGAACCUACACCUUUCACAAGUAUUGAGAAAAUAGAACAAAAAAAGAAUAAUACUGUUAAAGA